CUACUUCAUUUGUGUUUCUGCAGACUUUGGAAGAGUUCAGUAUCGGGGAGGAAUGGAUGGUGUAUUUUUAAUUGCCUAGGCCGUCCCAGACAGUUCGUUUCGUAUGUUCGUUUGGUGCAUUGACUGCAUAUUGUUUUGUAAACGAGGUACGGUGUAAUGGAGAGUUCACACAAAGAAACAUUCGUUGAAAGAUGAAGCAGCCAACUACUGAGUCUGACAGCAGCUGCAGCAAACCGGACCUGAGCAGUGCUGAGAUUCUCCAGGAUCAAUACGUAAAGAUACUCUGAAAAUGGAUAUGAUGUGUUGUUGUUAUUGUGUGUGUUCAGCUGUGGACGCUGGACAUCUCCAUCAGCGAUGAGAACAGACAGGCCACUGAGAGCAUGCUGCUGGAGGAACAGUAUUAUUUUGCCAGUAAAAAAAGCACCAAAGGUGGAAUGGACCAAUGAGAAGACUAAAGUCAAAAAGCACAGUUUGGACAAAGAUUGCCAAACUAAUCGGCACUAGGACAGUUCUACAGGUGAAGAGCUAUGCUAGGCAGUACUUCAGUAAUA